rnacentral:rRNA from 1 species
UACGUAGGGGGCAAGCGUUGUCCGGAAUCAUUGGGCGUAAAGCGCGUGUAGGCGGUCCGGUAAGUCGGCUGUGAAAGUCCAGGGCUCAACCCUGGGAUGCCGGUCGAUACUGCCGGACUAGAGUUCGGAAGAGGCGAGUGGAAUUCCCGGUGUAGCGGUGAAAUGCGCAGAUAUCGGGAGGAACACCUAUGGCGAAGGCAGCUCGCUGGGACGUUACUGACGCUGAGACGCGAAAGCGUGGGGAGCGAACAGG